GGGCAGCAAUGUCACCGUCGCACGGGUGCGUAACGCGUAUGCAACCUACCUAUCACAGGGGGAUAGCCUUUGGAAACAGGGAUUAAUACCGCAUAAAGCAGGGGCUCCGCAUGGAGAUAUUGCUAAAGAUUUAUCGGUGAUAGAUGGGCAUGCGUCUGAUUAGUUAGAUGGUGGGGUAACGGCCUACCAUGGCGAUGAUCAGUAGGGGGCGUCAGAGCGUGGUCCCCCACACUGGCACUGAGAUACGGGCCAGACUCCUACGGGAGGCAGCAGUAGGGAAUAUUGGGCAAUGGAUGCAAGUCUGACCCAGCCAUGCCGCGUGAAGGAAGAAGGUCCUCUGGAUUGUAAACUUCUUUUGUCGGGGAAGAAGAGUCAUCUUGCGAGGUGAUGUGACGGUACCCGAUGAAUAAGCCACGGCUAACUACGUGCCAGCAGCCGCGGUAAUACGUAGGUGGCAAGCGUUGUCCGGAUUUAUUGGGUUUAAAGGGUGCGUAGGUGGUUUAAUAAGUCAGUGGUGAAAGCUGGUUGCUCAACAAUCAAGUUGCCAUUGAUACUGUUAGACUUGAGAGAAGUGGAGGCUGGUGGAAUGGAUGGUGUAGCGGUGAAAUGCAUAGAUAUCAUCCAGAACGUCAAUUGCGAAGGCAGCUGGCUGUACUUUUUCUGACACUGAGGCACGAAAGUGUGGGGAUCAAACAGGAUUAGAUACCCUGGUAGUCCACACUGUAAACGAUGCGAACUAGCUUU
rnacentral:rRNA from 1 species